rnacentral:rRNA from 1 species
UACGGGGGGGGGCAAGCGUUUGUUCGGAAUUACUGGGCGUAAAGGGCUCGUAGGCGGCCAACUAAGUCAGACGUGAAAUCCCCGGGCUCAACCCGGGAACUGCGUCCGAUACUGGGAGGCUUGAAUCCGGGAGAGGGAUGUGGAAUUCCAGGUGUAGCGGUGAAAUGCGUAGAUAUCUGGAGGAACACCGGUGGCGAAGGCGGCAUCCUGGACCGGUAUUGACGCUGAGGCGCGAAAGCCAGGGGAGCAAACGGG